CAGAGGGGCAAGCGUUGUUCGGAAUUACUGGGCGUAAAGGGCGCGUAGGCGGCCCGCUAAGUCGAACGUGAAAUCCCCAGGCUCAACCUGGGAACUGCGUCCGAUACUGGCAGGCUUGAAUCCGGGAGAGGGAUGUGGAAUUCCAGGUGUAGCGGUGAAAUGCGUAGAUAUCUGGAGGAACACCGGUGGCGAAGGCGGCAUCCUGGACCGGUAUUGACGCUGAGGCGCGAAAGCUAGGGGAGCAAACGGGAUUAGAUACCCCGGUAGUCCUAGCCCUAAACGAUGAAUGCUUGGUGUGGCGGGUAUCGAUCCCUGCCGUGCCGAAGCUAACGCAUUAAGCAUUCCGCCUGGGGAGUACGGUCGCAAGGCUG
rnacentral:rRNA from 1 species